rnacentral:rRNA from 1 species
UGUCAUGCCAAUGGCACUGCCCGGUAGCUAAAUGCGGAAGAGAUAAGUGCUGAAAGCAUCUAAGCACGAAACUUGCCCCGAGAUGAGUUCUCCCUGAGACUUUAAGUCUCCUGAAGGAACGUUGAAGACGACGACGUUGAUAGGCCGGGUGUGUAAGCGCAGCGAUGCGUUGAGCUAACCGGUACUAAUGAACCGUGAGGCUUAACCUUACAACGCCGAAGCUGUU